rnacentral:rRNA from 1 species
AGUGAACGCUGGCGGUAGGCCUAACACAUGCAAGUCGAACGGCAGCACAGUAAGAGCUUGCUCUUACGGGUGGCGAGUGGUGGACGGGUGAGGAAUACAUCGGAGUCUACUUUUUCGUGGGGGAUAACGUAGGGAAACUUACGCUAAUACCGCAUACGACCUACGGGUGAAAGCAGGGGAUCUUCGGACCUUGCGCGAUUGAAUGAGCCGAUGUCGGAUUAGCUAGUUGGCGGGGUAAAGGCCCACCAAGGCGACGAUCCGUAGCUGGUCUGAGAGGAUGAUCAGCCACACUGGAACUGAGACACGGUCCAGACUCCUACGGGAGGCAGCAGUGGGGAAUAUUGGACAAUGGGCGCAAGCCUGAUCCAGCCAUACCGCGUGGGUGAAGAAGGCCUUCGGGUUGUAAAGCCCUUUUGUUGGGAAAGAAAAGCAGCAGGUUAAUACCCCGCUGUUCUGACGGUACCCAAAGAAUAAGCACCGGCUAACUUCGUG